rnacentral:tRNA from 2 species
GUACUAAAAGCGUAAUUCGCACUAAGUUUCGACCUUAGAUAAUGAAAAUUUUUUUUCUUAGUGUA